UACGUAGGGCGCAAGCGUUAUCCGGAAUUAUUGGGCGUAAAGAGCUCGUAGGCGGUUUGUCGCGUCUGCCGUGAAAACUGGAGGCUCAACCUCCAGCCUGCAGUGGGUACGGGCAGACUAGAGUGCGGUAGGGGAGAUUGGAAUUCCUGGUGUAGCGGUGGAAUGCGCAGAUAUCGAGAGGAACACCUGCGGCGAAGGCGGGUUGCUGGGCUGACACUGACGCUGAUGCGCGAAAGCUAGGGGAGCGAACGGG
rnacentral:rRNA from 1 species